GUCAAAAAGGACGUCCGUCUUUGUAGCAGAAACGUCAAUUCGGAUCGGUGUCCUGAAAUAGAAACCUGAGAAUAGCGUUUGCGGUGAGUGGGCAGUUGUUGACGUGUAAAUUAAAUAAAAGAGAACGUCACUGAUGAAAACAAUGGAAAGGUAUCAACUACGUUCGUCAUCUCAGAAGGAAAAUACGCACUAGCAUCGUUGUGAGCUUCUGUAACUGACGAACAAUACAAAAAUGUGAGAAUCGGACAAAGAAGUUAAGCAAGCGGAAAUCAAGAGCUCGUUAAUUAGUUGCUGUAACAAUGGCAUAACUAAUUUCAUCCAUGGUGUGACGGUGAGCCCUCGUUUGAUGAAUCUCUUCAACUGCUAAAAGAAAAUGAAAUUCUAAAACAUCGGAAUCCUCAAGUUGUUCUUCAACUCGCUACGAAGAUGGUGAACGUGUCAAGUGCCACGCCACAUUUUUCCCGCCUGAUUGAAUAUACUGGAGAGGAUAUUGGAAACGCGCUCACAAAGUCCACGCAGACAAUGCGCCAACGAUCACAAAACGAGCUUACAACGGCUGAAUCUCGACGUCGCAAACAGACACAACGGUCGACAAGUGCCAUUGAAUUACGGAGGCGACAGCGUCGAUGCAAUUGGGUGAACCAGAAUUUCUCUUCUUCCCUGUCUGUUUGUUCCGAGAAAACUGGGCAGAGUUGUUCUCUCUCUCUCUCUCUUGUAUCGUGCGUCUUUUCGGCGAAAUCCCCUUCAUAAUGGACACAUACCCGACUUGUUUAUGUGAAGCCUCGAAUCGGUUACAUGUGCAGCUUUUGCAGAGACACCAUUCGCGGUACUCAUCUAAAAUUUUCAGAAGAUCAAUAAAAACCACAUCAUACUUAAAAUAAUGAGAUACUCAUAUUUAAAGCUGGAGGGGAUCCGAAUAUAAAAGAAAGCUAUAAAAAGAAGGGACACGGAAGUUGGAAAUCAAAUAAGAGAAGCACGACACGCACGCAAGGAAAAGUGCCGGAAUGAAGAGGUAGCACGCAUGAACGAACACCCGACCGAUUUACAAUCGGCCGCAUAAUAUGGUUGCCUACACGGAGAACGUUUUUACAGUGCCCAUCAUGACUAUAGACGCGUGAACUGGACUCGGAAAUAACGGCUGAUGAAUCAACGAGAUUACAACGUAUAGUACAAAUAACGGACUCCAUUAUGUGCAACA